GGAAGUGACUGAAGAUUAACAAGAAUGACUCACCUCAAAAGUCUUUCAGAAAAAGAGAAAUUCAUCAUUUUGGGUAUGGCCCUUCCCUUCCUGCUUUUAUUGGGAGUCCUCAUUAUAGGAAUUGUGUAUAUCAAGAAACUCCACCAGAAAGUCAGGAAAGGUGACAACUUCCAAUACAUGUGUGAUAACUCUGAGUACAACAUGCAGAAACCUAGGGAUCCCAGCAUGGAGAUGGACAAUGGAGAGGAUCCUAGAGAUAUUCACUAUGCCUCACUGAACUAUAUUGGCCCCAGAGAAUCAAUGCACACCAACAUACUGAAGGGCUACAACUCUAAGACUAUGCAGAUCCCUCAUGAGUCUGUGGAAUAUGCCAGUAUCUUAAGGACUGGUUUUCAGCAUCCCAAAUCAAAUGCCCCAGUGGGCAGGGAGUGUUAGUCGUUUUUUAAGAGCUUAAUAAAAAUGUUCAUUGCUAAUAUGGAAAUAUGUUU
rnacentral:lncRNA from 1 species